rnacentral:rRNA from 1 species
AUUGAACGCUGGCGGCAGGCCUAACACAUGCAAGUCGAGCGGAUGAAGGGAGCUUGCUCCUGGAUUCAGCGGCGGACGGGUGAGUAAUGCCUAGGAAUCUGCCUGGUAGUGGGGGAUAACGUCCGGAAACGGGCGCUAAUACCGCAUACGUCCUGAGGGCGAACGUGGGGGAUCUUCGGACCUCACGCUAUCAGAUGAGCCUAGGUCGGAUUAGCUAGUUGGUGGGGUAAAGGCCUACCAAGGCGACGAUCCGUAACUGGUCUGAGAGGAUGAUCAGUCACACUGGAACUGAGACACGGUCCAGACUCCUACGGGAGGCAGCAGUGGGGAAUAUUGGACAAUGGGCGAAAGCCUGAUCCAGCCAUGCCGCGUGUGUGAAGAAGGUCUUCGGAUUGUAAAGCACUUUAAGUUGGGAGGAAGAGCAGUAAGUUAAUACCUUGCUGUUUUGACGGUACCAACAGAAUAAGCACCGGCUAACUUCGUG